rnacentral:lncRNA from 1 species
CCUGUGGUAUGUACAACCUUACCGAUUGUUCUGAAAGGGUAAAUCACAACCGACUUAUAACCUGCAACUGUGUCUUUAACUUGAGCUAACUACCCUGUUAACCAACAUUGUCGUUGAUGCAUCAACACUCCUUCAAAAAAAUCUAAAGUGGCAGCCGCGAAUAACCGAACGCAUGGCAGGAUAGAAAUCCAUUGCAGGGCCAUUUGGUUAGUAUCAAGAACCAUGCAUACUCACGAUGCAGCACCUGUAGAACCUGCAGCAACAAAAUGCCAAGCUAAAAUCGACGUCCCUAACAGUCCAAGAUUAAAAUCAAUAACCAGCAAUAGUUAGUUGCAAUGGCAAUACGCUUCGCACCAAAUGUAGUGUCACUGUUAACAACAAAUUCAGCAAUAUGUAUUAGUGGUACCAACCAUGCAUUAAAGCCAUUUCCGAGAGUGC